UGUUAGCCACCAUGCCUGGCCAAGUUUUGUAUUUUUAGUAGAGACGGGGUUUCACCAUGUUUGUCAGGCUGGUCUUGAACUCCUGACCUCAGGUGAUCUGCCUGCCUUGGCCUCCCAAAGUGCUGGGAUUAUAGGCAUGAGCCACCGUGCCUGGCCUGAGUUGUUUAAUAUUUAAACUACAUGUUUUUCUUGUGGUAAACUCGUCAGACUUGGUGAAUGUUAUAAUUGUGUUCAGAGUCCAAAAGUCAUUCCAUAGCAUAUAUUUCAAGUAUAAUGAUGGCUCAAUGUCCUGAACCAAGAUUAUCUUGGUGGCUGAGGCUAAUACCUGAUACUGUGGGUGGCAGGUCACACUCUCUGCAGGUUCCCAUCGGGUCGGGUGAUGCUUUUCAGAUUAACGGUUAAGUGCAGCUAUCUUAGCGAGGGUUCAUUAUUGAAGUUUCUAUUUGUUUCUUUAUGCUUUUUAAAAUAACUUACCUGCAUCUCUUACAUUGAUUGCAAAGGGCCAAGUUUGAGACAGUGACAGACUUGAGAGAAGACCAAAGCUAUCCACAGAAAGCUUUGCUAGCUAAAUAUUUGUUUGAGAUUGUCGAUCCUGUUAUUCUUACAAGAGGCCCACAGAAAAAGGAAGAAAGAAGGAAAGAAAAGGAAGAAAGGAGGGAGGGCAGGGUAGAAGGAGAGAGGGAGGAAGAAAGAAAGAAGGCCGGGCGCGGUAGCUCACGCCUGUAAUCCCAGCACUUUGGGAGGCUGAGGUGGGCGGAUCACGAGGUCAGGAGUUCGAGACCAGCCUGGCCAACAUGGUGAAACCCCGUCUCUACUAAAAAUACAAAACUUAGCCAGGCGUGGUGGCGCACGCCUGUAAUUCCAGUUACUCGGAAGGCUGAGGCAGGAGAAUUGCUUGAACUUGGGAGGUGGAGGUUGCAGUGAGCCGAGAUGAAGCCAUUGCACUCCAGCUUGGGCAACACAGCAAGACUCUGACUCAAAACAAACAAACAAACAAACAAAAAAACCACACAAAACGAAAGAAAGAAAGAGAGAGGAAGAACGGAAAGAAAGAAAGAGGAGAAAGGAAGGGAAGAAAAGUCAGUCUCCCAGAAAAUCCCAUCUGUUUUCUAGCGGCUUCUCUAAGCAAGGCUUAGCUCAGCACAACUUUCCCUUCCAGCCCCCGCCUCCCACUGUGGCCAUUGGCAGGGGCUGUUGGGAUCACCACAGAGGGCACAUGGGGAAGGUGGUGCAAGUGCUGGCCUUCUUGUUUCUCCUAGACUUUUGCUAAGGCCUGUGUGGGGAAUACCCCUGUUGGUUGCCAAGCUAAGCAUUUUCAUAGGCUGAGUCACAUAGACAGAGCUUUACUUUGUGAAUACAAAACAGGGAAAUAAAGGAACAAAACACCAAUCCUGAAGGGCAAUGACAUGAUCAUUGCUAAGUGCCAUUGAAUGAACUCAGGAUAACUCUCAACCUCACUCUUCUGUGGUUCUGUUUUGCAUAUGUAUAAUGUGAACUUCUAAUGAGUUGGUUAAUAUUAUUCCCUCCUCCCUGUUUUCUUUAAACCCUGCUUUGAAGCAUAAUGGUGUAAACCAGUAAGAAGUUUGGAAAGCCUGUGCUUGUCAUUGGAGUUUAAUUAAAAUACACUAAGCCUUGCAGAAACUUGUGGUUUCGAGUAAUGGAAAAUUGGGAAUUCAGAAGUAUAGACUGAUCCUAGGCAGAAGGGCCAAAUUUUCUCUAAAGCAUUGGACUUCUUGCCUUCCAUUUCUGUGUAGACAAUGUAGUUGACUCAUUCUUAAACAUACAAAUGAUCACUUUUCCAAUAAAGGAUUGAUCAAUGUUAUAAUGGCAAGAAUUUGACAUUUACCUCCACAGAAGCAUUAUCCAAAUGUUCACACUAUUUCAUAUUUCUUUGUAUUGAAUUCAUUUAUAAACAUAUUUAUCCUAGACCGAUUAUGCGCAAAGCAAGUGCAGGUGCUAGGGAUACAGUUAUGGCAAAACUAGACCAACUGCAACCUCCGCCUCCUGGGUUCAAGUGAUUCCCCUGCCUCAGCCUCCCAAGUAGCUGGGACUACAGGCACAUGCCACCACACCCAGAUAAUUUUUUGUAUUUUUAGUAGAGAGAGAGUUUCACUGUGUUAGCCAGUAUGGUCUCGAUCUCCUGACCUCGUGAUCCGCCCGCCUCAGCCUCCCAAAGUGCUGGGAUUACAGGCGUGAGCCACCACCCCCAGCCCUUAUUUUAUUUAUUUAUUUAUUUAGUUUGAGAUAAGUCUCACUCUGUCACCCAGGCUGGAGUGCAGUGGCCCAAUCUCCGCUCACUGCAACCUCCGCUGCCCAGGUUCAAGCAAUUCACCCGCCUCAGCCUUCUGAGUAGCUGGGAUUACAGGCGCGCACCACUACACCCUGCUAAUUUUUUAUUUUUAGUAGAAAUGGGGUUUUGACAUGUUGUUCUCCAACUCCUGACCUCAAGUGAUCCACCUGCCUCAGCCUCCCAAAGUGCUGGAAUUGCAGGCGUGAGCCACCGCGCCCAGCCUCUAGUGUCAUGUUAAGAGUAUGGCAUUUAGCUUGGUCUUGAGAAGUGAACUUGACUUUAACAAAGCAUGAAAUGGUUAAGAAAAAUAAAUGAUUUGAAUACA
rnacentral:lncRNA from 10 species